rnacentral:RNase_P_RNA from 1 species
GGGGCUAGAUGAGUAGUCGCUGCCCUGUUGUAAUGGCAGGGGAGAGGAAAGUCCGGGCUUCACGGGGCAAGGAUGCCAGCUAACGGCUGGUGGAGGUAACUCCAAGGAUAGUGCAACAGAAAUAUACCGCUCAUAGCAAUAUGAGUAAGGGUGGAAAGGCGGUGUAAGAGACCACCGUACUGUUGGUAACAACGGUAGCCAUGUAAACCCCAUCCGAAGCAAGUUCUAAGCGGUGCGUACGCGGCCCGCCAGCACCAGGUUGAACGCUUGAGGCCAUUGGCGACAGUGGUCCUAGAUAGAUGACUACUUUAAAAGACAUAACCCGGCUCACAGUCUAACCCUUUUA